CAUCUGAUCCUAAAUUAAUGGUGCCACAAUUGUGUCGACAGUCACAGUACCCCCUACUGCACCCUCGCUCUAGCCUUUUUUCUUUAGUGCUUUCAUAUUUUUUCUUCUUUUAAUUUAGUGCUUAUAAUAUUUAUAUAUAUAUACAUAUUCUUUUUUUUUUUUUCCGCAACUACGCCUUAGAAAGACGUGCGCAAGGGAAGUCGCGGCCUAUUAUAUAUAUAUUUGCGCGUAUGCCAGCCAUUCCUUAAUUCAUCGCGCCUUAAUUAAACAUCUUCUAGCGAAAAGGCUAGCUGCAGGGUUGGGUCGACAGAUUGAUCAUCAUCAUGAAGCUUUUACUACCUGUGCUCUUUGUUGGAGUUCUCUUGAUCUUAGCAACUCUGCAAGAAGGCGCCAAUGCAGAAAGUCUCCCAGCGGAGCUGAAGCGUCAUCUCCUAACUGAUCGAAAGGGUAAAGCCGGUGCUGCCCGUGCCACAGACACAGAAUCACAAGUACAAGCAGUAGUUGCCAAUAAGGACGACGCCCCAAGUUCUGUGGGAGCGUCUAAGACAGAUGACAACAGUAGUAGUACUAGUGAUGAUGACACAGAAGAAGAAAACACAGCUUAUCGUUCGUUUAAUAAUACUGGCAGUAUAUCCGACGGUAGACCUACUCACCAUGACUUUAAAUGUCUGGCCCAAGUCAACACUGACCGUGCAUGCAAAAAAGAUGAUGGAAACUAAUUAAGCUAUCCUGUGAGAGAACCGAUCAGCUUAAUUAUAAGGUAUAUAAUUACGCCAAUUAAAUAUGGUGGCUUGGAAUAAAUAAAGUGGAACCUGACAUGUUAUAUAGCCAAAGCAUCUCAUGAUGUAUAAUUGGCACGUACAUGUUUAGUUUCACCAAGAUAGAUCGAUGAUGAUCAAGUACUAAUCAUCAUCAGUUUAAUCCUAUGUAAUACAUGUGUAUGUGGUUUCGUGCAACUGCGAGCAUGGAUGCAUGACAGCUUAAUUGCAGGCAAACUAUGUUGUGGAUUAUAAUCGUUCUUAAAUCAAACUAAGGACCGUGCAUGGAUUCAUGGCUACCA